UAGUUUAUGACAUAAGAGACUUGAGAGAGAAAGAUAUAAGGAAUAUGAUUGAGGAUUCAUGUCUCAAUGCAUCCUGUCAUGUCUCCAUCAGUAUCAUACCAUUCUGAGUAACGGUACAUGGGGCAAGCACUGGUACCCGACAUCCUGACUGUCCCAGUUGGUACCGAUUGGGAUGGACUAGGAUGGUUAUGUCCUGACACUUGGGAUGCGUAUUGGUACCAACACUUUAAUUAUCGAAUGUGAUGGUUUAUGUGAGUCCAAGGAAUAAAUUUAGCCGAGUUGAAAAAAAAAAGUUCAUGACCCUUGUGCAAAGACAUGAAAUAAAGAUGUUUUAUAAUGCAUUUGGAACAUAGUCUUUAAAUGGAAAAUAUGGAAAUAUAUUUCAACCAUCCAGAGUGGUACUGGGUGGUACUACUUGGUUCGGGCCUGGUUGGGGUAAACCAACCUUGAUCUGCUUGAAUUGCUUCAUCUGGGUCGGAUAAAGUGUUUGGGGUGGUUCUUGUGGUAUUUGCCUGAGUUGAGACCUACCCGUACUGCUUUAGGGUUGGCCUCGUAUGUACUUGGCGGCACAUACUGAACUGACCAGUUUUCCAACCUUAAUCUGAAGUGUGCUAGCUGAUCCACAAUGUAUGUUCAAAUACACUUUUAUAUUCAUUUGCAUGAUUGUACUAGUGGUAACAAGUCAAGGCAACAAGUUCCCAUAGUGUUGCCCAGUAGAU
rnacentral:lncRNA from 1 species